rnacentral:rRNA from 1 species
CAAUAGCGUAUAUUAACGUUGUUGCUGUUAAAAAGCUCGUAGUUGGAUUUCUGGAGGGAGCGUCGACCCGUAUUUACGAGUGCGUGACGUCUCUGUCCAUCCUUGCGGGAAGGCACGGCAUUGAUUUGUUGUGUCGGAUCGCAUCAUUUACUGUGAAAAAAUUAGAGUGUUCAAAGCAGGCUUUCGCUUGAAUACAUUAGCAUGGAAUAAUAAGAUAGGACUUUGGUGCUAUUUUGUUGGUUGAGCCUAAAGUAAUGAUUAAUAGGGAUAGUUGGGGGCACCUGUAUUGCGUUGUCAGAGGUGAAAUUCUUGGAUUUACGCAAGACAAACAGCUGCGAAAGCGUCUGCCAAGGAUGUUUUCAUUAA